rnacentral:misc_RNA from 1 species
UCAGCCAUGUUAUUCCCCCUUGUCACAG